rnacentral:rRNA from 1 species
AGUCCAGACUCCUACGGGAGGCAGCAGUGGGGAAUAUUGCACAAUGGGGGAAACCCUGAUGCAGCGACGCCGCGUGAGUGAAGAAGUAUUUCGGUAUGUAAAGCUCUAUCAGCAGGAAAGAAAAUGACGGUACCUGACUAAGAAGCCCCGGCUAACUACGUGCCAGCAGCCGCGGUAAUACGUAGGGGGCAAGCGUUAUCCGGAUUUACUGGGUGUAAAGGGAGCGUAGGCGGCAGAGAAAGUCUGAAGUGAAGGCCCGCGGCUCAACCGCGGAACUGCUUUGGAAACUUUUCGGCUAGAGUACCGGAGAGGUAAGCGGAAUUCCUAGUGUAGCGGUGAAAUGCGUAGAUAUUAGGAGGAACACCAGUGGCGAAGGCGGCUUGCUGGACGGUAACUGACGUUGAGGCUCGAAAGCGUGGGGAGCAAACAGGAUUAGAUACCCUCGUAC